rnacentral:lncRNA from 1 species
CUCCACCUGCCAUGUGUUAGCCCGAGGUACCGACUUGCUCGGGGAGGAUUUAUACACGCCAUUUUGAACUUCUAAUAGAGUCUGUCCUUUGAGUAACCAUUUAAAAGAAGAUUAAAUUUAAUUAGACUGUAUCUUUUUCCUGUGACACGCUGUCUUCAAAGUCCACUUUAUUACAUUCUUCUCUCCUAGCAGUGUACUAAUGCUGGCUGGUGCAGGGCACCUUCAGCUGCAGGAGGAAAGGAAGGAGAUAGUUACAUACUCAUUUAAUCCCUUGGGAGUAUCUUGGAAAUGGCUGACAUCCGACAGUCACGCCCACCCAGCAACAUGCCUGAGUAAAUGUCGCUCAGGAAUCAACUGGGACAUGUGACAAGUUGGAGGAGUAACCUCAGCUGUCCACCCAUCUACCCUAGCCAGGAGAUCAGAAUCACCUCGGGUUCUAUCAUUUCUCUUUUGAUGGCUUCUCAUUUCCUGAAUUUACUGAUAAUUACUACACCUUGAUACCAGUUGGUACCAACGCACUUAUGGAGAAGCAUUUGUUUCAUCCUGAAACUUGGGCAAAAACAAUAUGAACUAUUCAUAUAUAUGUAUAUAUGUUUUACAUCAAGGAUCGAAAUAUUCUAAAGAAAAAUAUAAAUGUUUAUAAGAGACAGAAGCACUCGCUAUCAGGGAGACACCACAGCAGCACUGGGAACACGAAGGUGACUGAAACCUGGGCACUCCUCUGUCAGAUUCCCUGGGCUCGGAGAGUGGGCAGCCUCCCAGCCUCUCCGCUUUCUGGAGCACAUGCCAAUCAUGCGCAGCACUUACCAGGAGCUGCAAAGACUGCACAACAUGCCGAUGUUUAUUCCAGCAACAGGAGCCAGUCCAUAUGUUUAAGGGGACUUCCUCGACUCCCCAGCGCAAGAUAAAGCAUGCUGCUGACACACAGCUGCCCAAGCCAUCAGAAGGCAGCCAGCCACAGUUCUCACGCACCAGCAGUUAACCCUUUCCAGGCAAUUUUAUCGAAUAAAGUGGAUGCCGAGC